rnacentral:rRNA from 1 species
AGUGAACGCUGGCGGUAGGCCUAACACAUGCAAGUCGAACGGCAGCACAGUAAGAGCUUGCUCUUACGGGUGGCGAGUGGCGGACGGGUGAGGAAUACAUCGGAAUCUACUUUUUCGUGGGGGAUAACGUAGGGAAACUUACGCUAAUACCGCAUACGACCUACGGGUGAAAGCAGGGGAUCUUCGGACCUUGCGCGAUUGAAUGAGCCGAUGUCGGAUUAGCUAGUUGGCGGGGUAAAGGCCCACCAAGGCGACGAUCCGUAGCUGGUCUGAGAGGAUGGUCGGCCACACUGGGACUGAGACACGGUCCAGACUCCUACGGGAGGCAGCAGUGGGGAAUAUUGGACAAUGGGCGCAAGCCUGAUCCAGCCAUACCGCGUGGGUGAAGAAGGCCUUCGGGUCGUAAAGCCCUUUUGUUGGGAAAGAAAAGCAGCAGGUUAAUACCCCGCUGUUCUGACGGUACCCAAAGAAUAAGCACCGGCUAACUUCGUG